GAACACUGGGGCUCGUUCUCUGUUUUGUGGAACCCUGAGACCACCAUGUGAAGAUGUCCAGGUUAGCCUACUGGAGGAUGAGGAGUCGCAUGGAGAAGAGACGAGCCACUCCAGCUAUGGGGGCCCUAGACGAACCAGCCAGUCUUCCAACCACCAGUCUGAUCAGUAACAUGGACCUGAUUAUAGCCGGAGAGAAAUGGGCAGGAGAGAGAGGGAGAAGUAGGAGAUGGCGUGGAUUUUCUGGCUGGAAUACUUAACGGCCAUUCUGACAUUUCAACCAACGUUUGUCUUUCAAAAUGGAAGCUGAAUGGGGGUGAAUAUUAUAGACCGCAAAGUGCCUGGUGCCUUCAAAGACCUGAAGGAAGAACCCUGUUGCUUCGCCAUGGAAACGCACAGUCUGGAGACCAAGGGUGGACCCUGACUGAGGAUGGGAGAUGGGCGAUGCCUGAACCUCAGAGCGUGACUCUCCCCUUUGUGCAGGGAAUGUAGGCACCCAGGCAG
ensembl:lncRNA